rnacentral:rRNA from 1 species
AUUGAACGCUGGCGGCAGGCCUAACACAUGCAAGUCGAGCGGAUGAAGGGAGCUUGCUCCUGGAUUCAGCGGCGGACGGGUGAGUAAUGCCUAGGAAUCUGCCUGGUAGUGGGGGAUAACGUCCGGAAACGGGCGCUAAUACCGCAUACGUCCUGAGGGAGAAAGUGGGGGAUCUUCGGACCUCACGCUAUCAGAUGAGCCUAGGUCGGAUUAGCUAGUUGGUGGGGUAAAGGCCUACCAAGGCAACGAUCCGUAACUGGUCUGAGAGGAUGAUCAGUCACACUGGAACGGAGACACGGUCCAGACUCCUACGGGAGGCAGCAGUGGGGAAUAUUGGACAAUGGGCGAAAGCCUGAUCCAGCCAUGCCGCGUGUGUGAAGAAGGUCUUCGGAUUGUAAAGCACUUUAAGUUGGGAGGGAGGGCAGUAAGUUAAUACCUUGCUGUUUUGACGUUACCAACAGAAUAAGCACCGGCUAACUUCGUG